rnacentral:sRNA from 1 species
CCAAGGUGUUAGACUGGCUUAAUCAGACUUGUCAGAUGGAUGUUGUGUUGGCAACUUAUCUUUCUGAAUUUGAUCGCAAGCUUCUAGAAGCAGGUGGGCAAGACUGGGAUGAUGCUGUCAAGAUCAACAUGUUGUUCAAGAACUUGAACUUUCAAUUGCAUAACUGAAGUGUAGAGCAUCCAAAGCCCUCAACAUACAGCAAAUUCUGCACUGAUCUUUGCCUGUUGAACAACAACCUGUCUCAGUUCCACGCGCUCCAAAAUCGCAGAGGAUUCCACUGAACAAAUGUGUAUGCUCCGAACCACUCUGCAGCACCCCCUGCCUUCAAACCAGAACCAAUGGACUGGGUCCCACACAUAAAUAGGAGUCUGCAUACACUGCGACAAGCCAGGGCACUUUGCAAACCAAUGUCCGAAUGCAAUCGCCCUGAGUAAACCCCCCACGCACAUAAACACUGUGUCGCCCGCGGAUAGGCAAGAACAGGGAAAAGAUGAGCUCUCGCUCUA